rfam:Aedes aegypti strain Liverpool supercont1.479 genomic scaffold, whole genome shotgun sequence.
GCUCUCAUGGCGUAGUGGUAACGCGCCCCAACUAGAGAUCGGGGAGUCGUGAGUUCGAUUCUCACUGAGAAGA